rnacentral:rRNA from 1 species
AACGAACGCUGGCGGCAUGCCUAACACAUGCAAGUCGAACGAGACCUUCGGGUCUAGUGGCGCACGGGUGCGUAACACGUGGGAAUCUGCCCUUAGCUUCGGAAUAACAGUUAGAAAUGACUGCUAAUACCGGAUGAUGUCGAAAGACCAAAGAUUUAUCGGCAAAGGAUGAGCCCGCGUAGGAUUAGGUAGUUGGUGGGGUAAAGGCCUACCAAGGCGACGAUCCUUAGCUGGUCUGAGAGGAUGAUCAGCCACACUGGGACUGAGACACGGCCCAGACUCCUACGGGAGGCAGCAGUGGGGAAUAUUGGACAAUGGGCGAAAGCCUGAUCCAGCAAUGCCGCGUGAGUGAUGAAGGCCUUAGGGUUGUAAAGCUCUUUUACCAGGGAUGAUAAUGACAGUACCUGGAGAAUAAGCUCCGGCUAACUCCGUG